GCCUGGUGCCUUUCCAAAAGAGGCUGCAUUUGAAUUAUUUACUGGUACAUUCUCGUGUUCUAAUUACCCUCGGUCCUGUUCCGAGGGUGUCGGCUGGAGAAUUGUUUUGCUUAAAAUUAGUCGGCUCCUGGAAGAUCCAAAGCGGCUGUGAUUGGAGUAAGAAAUCUCGAUUGCCCUUCAAUUUAGUAAAUGAACAGCAAAAGUUGCUGCCAGCAGUAGCCAGAUCUCAGUAAACAAACGGCAGACAAAAUGCUGAAGUUUAGCCAAUGCGUAAAGUUUAAUGUACGCCACGUACUGAGCAGAGAGGAGUCGUGGAUCAGGAAAGUGGAGAUUCACGCGACAGAUUUUUAUUUCGAAAACCCUGGCUGCUUUAGGGUUGGAAAAAGGAGCAAGGAUGGGACCAACGAUUGGGAAGCAAUGAUUGCCGCUGGCACGAACGUAGAUGAAAGGACAGUGAGGGGAGAGAAAGGAAAGAGGAUAAAGAAGGAAUAAAAAGAAGGCAUAAGAAGAGAACGUGAGAAAAACGAGGACAGAGGGGAAGAAGAAAGGGGGAGAAAACAGGACAGGAGAAAGCAGCGUUCCUCUCUGUACCUGUGCUUGGUCCAGAGGCACCACGAGGACGGACUACAUUUCCAAAGAGCCCCUGUUCCUAGAAGACCCGCCCUUCCCCAAUCUCAAUUGCUGGUUGGUUACUGGCUUCGGAUUCCUUUUUUCCAUAGCCCUCUCAUUGGUUCUUAGGGCUGUCACUCUCCCUGGGAAGGCGGAACGCGGCGUGGUUGCCAGGGAGUCCGGAAACGGCGGGCAGGCGCUACGGGCCAAUAGAGAUCUGCCCGGCCGCCCGUUUCUGCUGCUGGGCCGCGGCGCCGGCGCUGCCAGGAACCCGGCCGAGAGAGAGAAGCAAAAGUUUUAACUGUGUAUCUGACUUUUUUGAGGCGGAGGGGUGGAGGAAGAGGAAAACUCCAGUGUUUAUAAAACCUUUUAUGAUAUUUCUAUACCAAAUUAUUAGACUUUACGUGUUCACUGACUAACUACAAAAUAAAAUCUUGAUGUGCAAAUUGCUACUGGGAGGAUAUAACUACAGAACAUCAAAGGGAGAGAAGGCUUUUUUACAAGCAUAUUCGUUUAUUGAAUCUAAACUUCAAAAUUUAACAAGCAAGAAAAUACUAGGAAAUUUAUUUCUCUGAGUGAGAGAGGAUAAGGGAGGAAAAAUGUUUUAAAAAUAAUAAUUAAAAAAAAGUAUUGGGACUUCCAGAUAAUAUCCCUCCCUUUAUUUAAAAAAAAAAAAGAUUUUCUGUGAUUUUAAAAUGUUUAUUUUAAAAAAUAGGCAUGAUGGGGGGGGUGAGGGUCAGAGAAAAACUUAUCAUUCUAACUUUCAAAAUUCCAUGGAAAUGAAAUUGAUUAGUGCAGAAAAGUGGGAAAUUAUGUUCUGCUACUUUAAAUCAAUUUAUUAGCUGAGCGAUAACCAAAAUAAUGCACAAAACACAUUGGCAGAAGUUGCAGCAGAAAAAGUAAAGAGUGCUUACUCACAAGUAGUUUUUCCUCGUGUGAGUAGCUCUGUUGACUUCCAAAGGAUAACUUACAUGAGUAUGGCUUGCAGAAUCUGUACUUAAGACUGAAACUAUCUGUGCUAAAUGGUUUGUUAUACAUAAGGGUUCUGUAGGAUGUGUCCCUAACUCCUUCAAUAUUAUUCUUCCUGAAUUGACUUGGUCUGAAAAUCCACUUGUUAAUUCACUCUGUUGCUCAUAAUCAUGGAGAUUUAAGAGUCAAUUCAUAGGAAAUGGAAGCACUGACCAGUUUCUGCCUGUCUCAUGCCUAACUUUCAGGUAUUACGUAGUUUGGAAUUCCCCCUCCCCCCCGCCCCCCCCCCUCCCCCAAUCAGCAGUAUUUUAUACAUCAACUUUUUGUCUCAUAGGAAAAAAUAUGGUGAUAUACAUUUUAGUAACCUUUGAUUAACUCAUAUAAGCUCUAAUUUUAUAGUGUACAGGACAAAACCAUAUAUUUAUUUUAAAUGCUUUGAGCAUAUUCUCCUUUAUUCAGGGGCUAAAAUGGCAUUUCUAUAACUAGAAAUAUCUUGAUAUUGUGGGUGAACUUGGAACUUUAUUUGUUUUAUUGUAUAUUCACAUAGUACCAUUUAUGUUAAUUAUCUGCUUAAAUUUGUUGGCUUAUGUAUAGACCAAGUGUAAUAUGUCUUGAGAGAUGAUUUUCCUUUCCAUAUAUGCAUUUAACUCCUGUUGAGUUCAGUGCAUGUAUGGAGAGAACUUCCCCUAAUGGUAAUGUUAAACAUGAGUGACAGUGUUUGACUUUCUCAGUAAAUAGGCUUCUGCAUUUAAACUGAACCCCUAAUCCAAUUUCAGUUCAGUUUGCAUUUUGAAAGAGGAUGUACAAUGCUGUUUGCUAGUGUUUGUGCCAAAAUUUGAAGGACAGCUGGGCACCAGUGACUCCUGUUGACUCUAAUGACUUCUAGCUGGAGUCACAGGUACCCAGUAUCUCUCAGGAUAGAGCCAAACUUUCUCUUCAACUAUACCCAUACAGUUCAACUGGUGUCACUGAGGAUUCAUGGGUGUAACUGAGGGCAGAAUCUGGUCCCGAGUGAGUAAUAGAUGUCUGAUAUAAAGAAUUUGAUCUUAAUAACAAUGUAAUGUUCAAAAAGUGGUUGUAUUUUACUUUCAUCAUGAUUUUCUUUCAUAUUUAUCUAUUUUAUUUUAUUGAAAUGUAAUAGUGAGUACCUGUUUGUGUGGAAGGUCAACUAUAUCUCUUGCCCAGAAACUUCAGGGAGACAUUAUUAGUUUCAAACACGACCUCUUUUUUUUUUUUUUUUUUUUUUUUUAUCAGCUGUUAAUUCCUUAUUUUUUAACACUGACUUAUUACAGAUUAUAAACUAGAAAUGUGACUAGUGCAAAUGUAGCCAAUAGACAGUCAUCAAGUCUUGCAGUUUUCUUGCACAUUAACUGUAAUGUGUGUGUUCAUCUGAUAUCUUCAUUUGUUGCUAUAAUAAUACUUGUCUUACAAAGAAAAGCUGGCUAAGUGAGUCAUAUCCAGGUGACUAUAACAGAUCCAGCUAUGAAUUUCUCUUUCCUGCAUAAAAAGAUUACAGCUGAUGAGUCUCACUCCUUCUGCCCCUCUUUUCUCCCCCCCCCCCCCCCCCCGCAGUUAAUUUUCUUCCUGGGUUCCUCUUUCUCAUAAGUGCAAUAUUCAACUUCUCCCAUUGAUAAGCAUGUAACUUCUACAGCGUUCGUAGGCAUUCCUGUCACAGAUAGUGAAUCCUGAGAUUACUUCUGAAGUAUUCUCGCUUGGCAUCCACAAAACUCAUCUGUGUACUCUUCAUGCUGUAUUCUUUAUAGACUAAUGCAUAGUGUAGUAUUUUAGUAUUCUCUUUCCAGUUACAGUGUGUUAGUUUCCCGAGAUCUUCUUUCAUAUCCUAUAACAAGGUAGCAAGAUCCAGAUUGCCGUGUGCUGGGAAAUAACAGCUACAGAAAUGGCAGCUACUGUAAAGCCCAGAACUAACAUUUUAGCUAGCACAAUAAAUAAAAUGAGUUGUGACUGUAUUGGAGUUGCACUAAAUAAUGCUACAGUGCAGUUUAUGACUGGUUUCAAUGGAUAAUAUGCAGCUAUAAAACCUGUUUGAAGUUUUUAUUAAGAAUACUCUGUCAUUCUAAAAAAAAAAAAAACAACAACCCAAAAAACAAACUAGCACUUCUUUAUAAUAACUGUGCAGGAAUGACUUCAUUUAUGCUGACUUCCUGUUUGUUACAGGGAAGAACCUUCUUUAUCUCUGAGAUGCUGUUUACUUUAGAUAACUUGUGAGUCUCUUUGGAAGGAGACAACUCAAUCAGUUUGAGAUUUUGAAACUUACUUUGUUUUUCUUAUCUGCUUUUCAAUGGAUAGCUCAACAACUAGCUCAAUUUAAAUUAUUUAAAGCAAGAAGUUCAGAUGCUUUGUGGUAUAGCUUGUUCCAUCAGCUCUUUGAUUAAACCUUAACCACUCCCAGUAGACCAGUAUUCAAUAAUAUGGAAUUGCAAAAGUAUCUAGGAGUUUCUGCGUUGACUGUUUUGGGAGACAUCUGUGAGAGGCUGUUGGGUAGCUAACUGGGGACUGUGCUUUCUAUUUCUGGCUCCGCCAUUGACACAUCAUGUGACUUUGAAUUGGUCCCUUAAUCUCUUUACCUCAGUUUUACCCAUAAGGAAUGUGAAGUUCUUUGAAAUCUUCAAAUCCAAGUUGCUACCAUACAGAAAUGCAUAUUUGUUAAACCACGUCUUUUUACUGAGCAAAUGCUAUAUUUGUGGCUAAUACUGAUGCAGGAAUAAAGCAAGGUGUAAUUCCAAGACUCAAAGUACACGAGUACAAGUUUAACACCAAAAUAGGUGAUGUGAAAUAGCCCCCAUCCCCAUAUGCACCACUUGUCUAUUGUGCUGUUUAACAGAGGAUGCCCAGUUCUAUAUAUGUACUAAUGAAAUGUAGUGGUGUCUUACACGGUGCAUCUUUGGAUGAUAAAGCAAACCAAAUAAACGGAAAAUAGGUGAAGAGACUGGAAUAUGCAUUGGUUUGCAUACACAUGUUGUAUUACCAAGGGAAAUAACGUUAUUUUAAUUGGCAACAAGAUUAUCCUUUCCCCUCCCACCCCCUCCAAAAAAUCUGUUCUCCAGCUUGGUAGAGUGCGGAUGGGAGUAAAAGCAGCAAGAUCCCCAACAAGAAAGUUGACUCCAGCAGUCCAUCCUACGAAGGGUGUCUGAAUAUAGGAAGAGGCCCCACACAAAGCCAGAAUGCAUGCUUGUCUUGCGGCUGUCUUUAAUCCUAUUAAAUCUUAUUAACAAAUAAUGACAAGCAAAGUGAGACUGAUCUGAAGAAUGGAGAAAUGGUUUUGGAGGGAGCUAGUUAAGCCACAUCUGUUCCAGAGAUGUUUUUUUCUUCACUCCCAAAUACCUGAGAGAUUUCAUAAGAUUCAGUAGACCUUCCAUUGGUGAUAUUUCCUCCCUGUGCCAAGGGGGGAUAUGAAGAAGAAAAUGAUCACAGGAUUCAAAAGAUGGAGAUCCUGCCAUCAAUGACUGAGCUUCCCUGAAAUCUUCCUUAUCAGUUACUGCCAAGAUGAGAAGGAUAACAGAAAGGAGGAGUUUUAAGUGGUUUAAAUGAUAGUUAAUUUCACCUAUUUAUCAAAUGACAGUCAUUCUUAAAACUCCAAUUGUUGUACAAAAGGACACUUUUUUGGAAACUGUUUUUGUAAAAUUUACUAUUUUGUAAAGAAAGUCACUGUGGUUUUUUUAAUGUAUAUAAAAUGAAUGAUAUGGUCAUCGUGAUCAACGUGUCUAAAACUUUUAUUUUUGGAAUUUUAA